UUUGGGCGUGUCUCCCUUCUUGGGAAACUCUCUCGACCCCACGAACCCUUGACCUCAAAUCGGGUGAGACUACCCGCUGAACUUAAGCAUAUCAAUAAGCGGAGGAAAAGAAACUAACAAGGAUUCCCCUAGUAACUGCGAGUGAAGCGGGAAAAGCUCAAAUUUAAAAUCUGGUGGUCUU
rnacentral:rRNA from 1 species